rnacentral:rRNA from 1 species
ACGCUCGACACCUACGAGAGGCAGCAGUGGGGAAUAUUGCACAAUGGGGGAAACCCUGAUGCAGCGACGCCGCGUGGAGGAAGAAGGUCUUCGGAUUGUAAACUCCUGUUGUUGGGGAAAAAGAGGAUGGUACCCAACAAGGAAGUGACGGCUAACUACGUGUCAGCAGCCGCGGUAAUCUGAGCGGGCUGGCAAGGC